ACAUUUUACUAGCAAGGUAAAUAAUAGACAAUUUUUUUUUUUAAAAUCUAAAAUAUAAGUUAUACACAAAAUUAUAUUUUUACUAAUGAAUCAGAUAUGCCAAUUUAAUAUCCCCUUUAGACCCUUAUCGUGCCUUGGGUCGCGAACGCGUUAAAAUAUAAUUUUUGUUCUCACCGACAUACUUUGCGGCAACUGAAAUAAGGAGAACGGAAAUUGGGGAAGCACUGUAACGGCUACUCACACAUAUGACAAGGGAGCGUCGACGCACACGGGAAGAAGGUGAAGAGCCGAACCAGAAGAAUCACGCAGGCGAGGGAAUCGGGAAACCUUGCAAUUGCGGGGCUGUCUGAGAAGGGGGUUCGCGCAUUCCUCGAGACGGGGAUCGGGUGGUAUCGAUGAAGGGUUGAGGUUGAGGGAUGCUUUUGGGAGAAGGGGCAUAAAGAAGCAGCUAGGGUUUCGACUGGAAGCAGGGAGGUUCUGGAUAUUCGCUUCCCAGGGUUUUGCGCAGAGAGUUUGGGGGUUUCUCGGUUUUCUUGUCGGAUUGUGGGGAAAAAAGGAGAGGGGGCUUCAGUCAAUUUUUUCCUUACCUAAUUCUCAGUGAAGAGCUAUCUCGGUUCAAGGAGAGGGAGCGAGAAGCAUUCAGUACAGGGGCGGUAACGCUCGAGUGAUUGACAUUUUCUCUGGAGUCCUCUUCUUCUUUCUGAUCAGCUCUCGAGAUGAGGAGAGAGAGUGUUUGACAUAAACGAAUAGUGUGAACGGAGAGAGAAACCGGAUUUUUCUGUUCCUUCUGUCAGGUUUCGAAAGAAGAGGAGAAUCGAGUGAAGAAGAGGAGAGACUUGUCAUAGUACACAGAAUAUCAGGGAGGGGAGAAUGAAAGCAGGGAGUAGAAUCUAAAGAAGAAGAAGAAGGAGAAGAAGAAAGGAAGCACAACCAGAUAAAGAAACAGGAACAGUAGUGUGGUAGUCUUCUACAGAAACUUGACAGCAAAUUGGUGCGUUUCCAUUGAACACCUCUUGCUUAAUUCAUGCAACUUGUCGAAGAGCUCUCCCUUGAGUGUAUAUUGGACUGAAUCAAGAUGAUUGUAUCUUACAUUGUCUUUGAUCUCAUGACUAUGAAUGCCUUUCAAUGAAAUUGUUUGGUGAUGUUUUAUAUUCAUGUUAUAAGCUGUUUGAAGAUCCUUCCGUUUUGUCUCUGGUUUUGUUUGAGAUUUACUCAUUAUUUUGGCUCAGUUAAAUGAAUAUUCAGAUGCUAAUUACUGUACUCAAAUUUUUUCCUGUAUUGAUUUCUUUCUCAUCUUAAUAAUGCUUCUUUUUCUAUUAAAAAAAUGCUUUUUUUUUCUUUUCUUUUUAUUCUCUUGAUAUGCAUCAUGCCUUCAGAUAUGGAUGCAAUAGUGGGGGUUUGGCAUGCAGGAUGUAUAAGUUUUCAUUCUAAUAUAGUUUAAAGAAUUGAUGUUGAGUUAUUGGUGAGAACUAGUUGUUCGUACAGUGUUCAAUGACCUGUAUCUGAUUGAAUGGAAAUGUUAAUGUUCCUCACUUUUUUUUGGUCCCAUCUAGUUUUAAUGAUGGACUGUGGUUUCCAUUAUGUCUAGUGGUGAUUUGUGGACAUUGCACCUUGUUUUAGGUCUGCUAGAGCUAGAAUACUGUCUGUUUUACCAUCACUUUGAAUUAUCAUAUCUCCUUUACUUCUUUUGAUGAUUGAAUUUGAAUGUAUCGUAUGUUAAGAGUUAUAAAUGUGCUGUCCUUUUUGAAAAUGAGUUAUGAUCAAUGGUACAAAUAUUCAACCGAUGAAUUUAUGGAGUUUGGGUACGAGUUAGCAUGGAAGAAAUAUGGGUAUAUGGUUAAUAUCUUUAUUUUUCCAUGCUUUAUUUUGUUAUGCAGGCAUACUUGCUGCCCAAACAGGUGUUUAUAGGACAUAUUGUAUGUUGUUGUUUUGCACAAGUAAUUUUUCUGGGUUGUUUAGUUGACAAAGUAGACACUGAUUUUUGGGAAUCAUCUCGGACUUAUCCUUGCUGUCCAUAUUUGGCACUGCACAUUUCCAGAUUUGCCAUACAGUCUUGGUUCCUUUGGGUAUUUGAUUUGCAUAGUUCGCAGGCUAAACGUUGUCUAGUGCAUGUCGGAUGAUUCAGGGUGUUGCAUGGUUAGGACAUUCUCUUGGCAAGUAGCACAUAGAUAUUGUCAUUAAAUCACUUAGAUGGCAGUUAAUGGUUUAUUUUUCUGCUUCUUCUUUCUUUCCUUUAUUUUGUGUAUAUAUAUUGCAUUUGAUGAUUGAUUCUCUUAGUGGUGUUUGAGGCUUAUGUUAAAGAAAAGGCGAAUUAGGUUAAAGAGUAUAAAGGUAAAAUACACCAUAUGUAAUUAUUUGUUUAUUUUAUUUUUUAUUUUACAAAACUUGUUUAUAUGAGAUUAUAAUAUUCAAUAAAAUACACAUAAAUCAUUCUUAAUAUGGUAUCAGAAUCCUAUCCUAGGAGAUCUUAGACUCUUUUAAAAAUUAUAUUCAAUCAUAAAGGGGGUCAACCCUCAUUUUCGGCCACCAAAUGUGGGCUACCGCAAGCCGACCAUCUCCACCACAAGCCCACAUUGUAGCCAACCAUCUCCACCAAGACCAACCUUCAUCGCUUGAUCCAGUUUGCCUAGAUGCCCAUAGCCCAACCAUGGUCACUCUCAGUCACGUAGUUCACUUAGAUGCACACAACCCAAUUGUGGUUGCUCUUAGUCGUGUAGUUCGCCACCAUCUGCUAAUUUGGAAAAGUUAUUUAGAUGUUCUAGUUUGGAAAAGUUUACUAUUUCUUAGUAUAAUUCUAGCUAUUCCUAAUUCUACUAGUUUACUAUUUCUUAGUUUAAUUUUAGUUUAGAAAAGUUAUUUAUAAAUUGUUAUAAGUAGUCUCAAAUUUCAUUGUUGAUCAUUUCAAGUUAUUCAAUAAUGUUUUUGAUAGUUUUUCUUUUUUUUUUUUGGUUAUGUGAUGCACUCAUAUCCUUAAGUUUGAUGUUUUAGACUUGUCAGUAAGGAAUCCUAGGUGUGAUAUUUAGGUCUUUUUUUUAUCUCCAAGUCCCUAAUUGGACAAAUUAACCCUAUUUGUCCUACAUUGUUGCCAGUUGAAGUGGGUAACUAGAGAUAACAAAAUUCACAUUAUGUUCAUUUUUGAAAUUAGAGUGGAUAUUUCUUAAUAGUCUAUUCCAUAAUAUUUUGGGUAUAUUCUUUGGCUAUUAGCCUUACUUUGUACCAUUCUAUUGUUUCAUUUGCUCUGUAUUUUAUGGUAAACACCUACAUGCAUCCUACAAGCUUAUUUCUUUUGGGCAAGUCCACUAUAUCCCAUGUUUGAUUCUUUUCUAGUGCGGAUAUUUCAACAAUCAUGAAAUUCUUUUUAUUUUUUAUAAGAUAAUGUCUCAGAUGUAGUGAUGAGAAUAGACUAAGUAUUAGGACUCAUCAGAAAAUUCUUGUAGGAUUGCGAACAUUUUUCGAAGAACACAAACUAUGGGAUCGUACGCAAUUGAUGUUUGUUGUAUUACUUGGUUUACGGAUUAUAAUGAACACAUCAAUACUAGGUUGUAUAGGGUUUUUAGGACUUAUCUUAGUUCUAUAACUUAUUUCUUAUGCUUGAACUUGCCUUAGCUCAAGACCUGAGUUCUUCCCCAUUGACUAUGCUUUAGUAAAUCUUGGAUCAUGUAAGAUUUCAUUGGUAGGUUGAGUUUGAGGUUUUUCUUAGGUGGUAAAGCUGGUGCGGUGAUAAAUUUGGAAAGUUGAGGUCAACUGAAAGAUCUUUAUCCUUAUUUUCUAAUACAGGUCCCCUCUAAAGAUAAAGUCGGGUAAAAUAGGAUUUUGUCUCAACAAAAGCUCUAAGAUACAUAGAAUUUUUGUAUAGAUAGAUGAUAGCACUUGUGCCCCCUUGAGAAGAGGAGUGCCCUACAAACGCACAAUUUAAAGCUCUAGGAUCAAGUUUCCUUCUCUGAUUGGAAGGGAUAGGAACAAAUGCUACACAUCCAAAUAUCAAAGGAACUAGAUGGGCUAUGAUACUGAUUUUUGGUUAAAAUUUGGAGGUUUUACAAAAGACUUUUAAAAUUAAGAACAAUGAAAGGUAAUUGAUUGAUGUUGUAGGUAGCUUUAAGGAUUGCUUCUCCCCAAUACUAUUUGGGAAUAUGAUUUUGGAAUAAGAAGGUUUGGAUAAAGGAGGCGACUAUUUUUUUGUUCUACCACCCCAUUUUGUUGUGGAGUGUGGAUAAAUGGUGAUUCAUGACUAAUUCCUUUUUAGUUGAAAAAGGAAGACAAUGUCCGAUUAAAAAAAAAAUCUUUUGCGUUGUCAGUGAGAAAUCUUUUAUGUAGGUACCAAAUUGGGUUGUGAUUAUUUUGCAAAAUUGAGGUAUUACGUGAUCCAAAUUCGAUUUGGUUUAAGUGAAAAGAUUCAUGUGUCUCUUGUGCAAUCAUCAAUAAACUAUAUAAACCAUUGAGCUUCAGAUAUAUUACAAGUGUGGGCAGUCUAAAUUAAUGAAGAAAGAAACUUACUCCUUUUAUUACUACUGGAAAAUAUUAUAUGCUUAUGUUUAGCAAACUCGUAUAUGUUGCAAUAUAAAUAUUCUAUUAACAGAGUUUUUAAAUAAAAAAGGAAACAUGACCUUUAAAAUUGAAAAGGAAGGAUAACCAAGUUGAUUCGUGGUAAAGUCAGAGCUUGGUAGUGGAGUCAGUAGUUGUGGUAGAAAGCCAUUAUUAUUAAAUCAUCUUCAUUUGUAUAUUAAUAUUUGGAUCUCCUGGUUUUGGUUUGGUGCCCAGAAUGUAACUGAUUUUUCCUUUCUUUAGAACGGUCCAAAUCAGAAUGUGACUGGCUAUGCAGGGGGCUGGUUAUGGGUUUUUUUGGCUAGAAUCAGCUAGUUGUGCAACCAUUUCCGGCAGGAGGCAGGUCUCGCAACCACUGGUGAGCCGUCUCUGCUGGUGAGUAAUUGCUGGUGGCAGCGGCUUGACUUCCUUCGAUGGCUGGUGUUGUGAAAAAGUUUAGUGUUUCUUAAUUUAGAACUCUGAUAUCGUGUCAGGAAUAAUUAUGUUGUAUUUAUUGAAUAAUAUGUCCCUAUAUAUACAAUUUCUAGAGAUAAGAAAGGGAAAGCUAGAAUUAGUUACAAAGAGCAUACUUUACUUCAAUAUCCUUUAACCUAGUUUAACCCUAAUUACACAUAAAGUACAUUUUUAACAACAAUCAACUUCUCUUCCUUUUUAUUAAUAAAGGUGAUGCCCUAUGGUUUUUUGUACGUGGGUAUGCCCUCGUGGUAUCUUGUGAAUAAUACUUUUUACUUAUGUGCUAAUAACUAUUAUACUUAUGUACUGAUUAAGCAGCCCAACCUGGUCAAUCACUCCAAGAGUUUCAAAAUUCUUUUAGAGGACACCAGCCCUGCCACCUCUAAAAGCUACAACUCCCUGAGCAUGGUUCUGGUGAGGCGUAGUUCGGGUCAAAAACCCUCCCAACAACCCAAUUUCACCAAAAAGCCCAAACUUUUUUAGGCUGAAAAAGAGAAAUGGAUUAACCAUGCUGGCCCAAGCAAAACUCAUCCAAAGACUGGCAACCCAGGUAUGAAAGUCCAGAAGGUAAAAUGGGAAUGGAGAAAAAAGAAGACUUCUUUCUAGAGGCCUAUUAAUGCUAACAUCGAGAAUCAUAUUUCCUCACCCUCUAAAACACUUCAGACCAAAGACUUGGUUGCUUUUGCUUUCAUCUCAAAUGACUGGUCCAAAGAACUGGUUCUCUCGAUAAAACUCCUCUAAACCUUCUAGAUGAAUGCUUCCCCAUAUCUAGUAUGGAGAUUGUCUUGAGCAACACUGAGCCCAUUACCCCCACAUCGCAUGUGAUGACGGGCAAUGAUUUGGCUACAAUAUUCUCUUCUUUAGAACAACUUCUCCUCGAGAACAAGGAAUGUGACAUUCACUGUUUCUUCGGUUGGAUUCUAAAGAACAUUUUCGCGAUCGAUAAGUUUUUGGGGGCCUCUUUUUAUGGUUAUGAAAAAAGCAUUCACUCUCCCUUUACAAACUUGGAGAAGUGUGUCUCGGAAAAGAAAAAAUGUGAGUUGAUGAUUGAAUCGGGUGCAAAGAAAGAACAAAAAUGGGAGUGUAGGGAACUACGAAGGCUUCAUUCCUCAAUCAAUUAUGACAACAAAAGAGGAAAGAAUGAGGGAAGUGGAAAGGAAACAAGAAAGAACGAUAUUCUACCCCAAUGAUUGACAAAAUACUUUCUUGGAACGUUAGGGGUACUAACGGCUCAAAGAAACGAUUGAUUAUCAAGGGUUGUCUUAACAGAUGGAAGCCUUCCAUCAUUUGCCUACAUGAAACUAAAAUGGAAAUUAUUAAUGGGAGGCAUAUUAGAAGCCUAUGGAGCAUUACUGACAGUGGUUUGAAUUUUGUGCCUGCAAAGGGUGCCGCAGGAGGUAUUUUUUAAUGUGGAGGAAAGACAGAGUUCAUUGCCAAGAUUUUCUUCCGGGUGAGAUCACUCUUGCUUGUCUAUUCUUUAACUUAUCUAAUGGGGACACAUGGUAUUUUGUUGGUGUAUAUUGCAGAGGUAACCCAUCCGAGAAAAACACUCUAGUAGAGGAACUUUUUCACCUAAAAGGCUUAUGGGGUAACAAUUGUAUUAUCGGUGGUGAUUUCAACAUGGUGCUCAAGAGGUCUGAAAGAUCUGGCUUCGGCUGUAGUGAUUCUGAUAUUGAAGAAUUUCAUUCUCUGAUUAACAGACUAGAUAUCAAUGACAUUCCCCUCACGGGUGGUAAUUGGACUUGGAAUAAUCAAAGAGACCAACGUUCCUUCUUCAGAAUUGACAGGUUCCUCAUCUCCUCCAACAUCCUCAUGUCCUCCCCAAACAUUAUUCAAAAGGUGUUGCCCAGACCCACCUCCAAUAAUUUCUCCAUCCUUGGGGCCCCAUACUCUUCCGAAUAGAUAAGAAAUGGUUCGAUGUUGAGAGUUUCAAAGUUCUGCUCACUGACACUUGGAAUAAUGCUCAAAUGAGAGGCACUACAAGCUACAUAAUUGUACAUAAAUUGAUCAAAUUAAAGACCGAGAUCAAGAAGUGGGUCAAGACCAUCGAGAAAAGGGAAGAAUAGAAAACAAAUGAGAUUUUGGCAGACAUUGAUUCUAUAACAGAUUGGGAAAAGCUCAAAAUCUGACCCUUGCGGACAAAGAUAAAAAGAAUAGUUUGAAGGUUGAGUUAGCACAAUGGUUACACAUGGAGGCCAUCUCCUGGAAGCAGAAAUUCAGAGAAAAGUGAAUCAAAGACAGGGACAAGAAUACUAAAUAUUUUCACAUGCUUGCCAAUUACAGAAGAAGAGUUAAUUAUAUUGAAGAACUCCUAAUCAAUGUCUGCCCCACCAAAGGAAAUAAUAGUUUGAGAGAAGGGGGCAAGAAUCAUUUCAUGAAUCUCUAUACUGAAUGCAUCUCUUCCAGACCCCGUUUGGAUGACUUAUCUUUUAAUAUGCUGAAUGAGAUUGAUUGUACUUCACUAGAAAUGAAAUUAACUGAAGAGGAAAUUUUGAAUAACCUGCAGGACUAUGAUGGUGUUAAGGCUCCUAGGCCUGACAAUUUCAACUUAAAAUUCGUUCAAACUUUCUAGAAUGUUCUAAAGGAUGACAUUUUGGAUUUCUUCUCUGCCUUUCAAAAAAAUAGAUCUUUUGUCAAAGCUCUCAACUCUACAUUUCUAAUUAUGAUCUCCAAGAAAUCAGGACUUUCUUGCAUUAAUGAUUUUUGCCCCAUCAAUUGGGAGCAUCUACAAGCUUCUCUCCAAGGUGCUUGCAAAUAUAUUUGCUAAAAUUCUACACAAAGUUAUUGGUGAGUGCGAACACGCCUUCAUCUAUGGAAGACAGAUUUCCGACUCCAUCCUGAUUGCAAAUGAAGUAGUUGAUGAAAUUAACAGGAAAAACUUGAAAGGUACCUUAUUCCAAGUUUUUCAAUGCAUCCAAAGGAUUAAGACAAGAUGAUCCAUUUUCUUCCCUUUUGUUUAUAAUUGUGAUAGAAGCGCUUAAUAAACUAAUUGAAAGAGCUAAAGACCUGCAUUUUUUCAAAGGUGUAUCACAUUCGGGAAGGGUCCAAACUAAGUUGAGCUGUCUCACGUAUUUUUUGCAGAUGACACACUCAUAUUCUAUCAACUAGAUAUAAGCUUCCUACUCUUUCUCAAAUGCACAUCCCUCUGUUUUCAAGCGAUCUCUGGUCUCAAGAUUAACCUUAAUAAAUCAGAACUAGUGGUACUUGGUGACUUGGGUGGGAAUGGUCUUGUUCAAGUUUUGGGCUGCAAGCUAACACAACUCCCUAUCACUACUUAGGGAUCCUGCUUGGAGCAAAAUUUAAAGAUAAACAAUGUUGGGAUCUAUUAGGAAACUCCUUAGGAUUUAUUACAUAAAGAAGGGUAAAAAAGGAAAUAUACGUAUAAAAAGGUAGAAUAGGAAAAACGCAGAACAAUUGGGAUUAGGGUUGACCAACCCUAACAGGACUCCACAGCCGACGCCUCUGCCUUUCAAAUCCAUUUCGUAGACGACACCGAUCAUCAUCAUUACGUGAUUCCUGCCCCCAAACUCCAGCAAGCUUGAUACCGCCUUGAAUAAUGAUUUUAUUUAAUGUAUUUAGGCCUAUAAAAUGGCCCCUUUCAUCGACUGUAAGCACAUCAAAAAUCAAUGAAAAAAGUCUUCUACUUUCUCCCUUUAUCAUUCUUCAUCUUCUCUGUUUUCUUCUUCUUCUCCAUUAAACCUUCACAAGAUCAGAACCAUGUCCAAGGCUUCUGACAAGCUGGUAUACCAAAUCAUAUGCCGACAUUACCACUCGAACACAGUCGAAGGGUAAGGCUUUGGUGAUCGAACUAGAAAAUCUUUAAUCACUUACUGUAAAAGAAGUCGAUUUGAAGUUAGCAGCAUUCAUGGAUGAAUCACGCAAACAGUUCAACGUGAUACUCGAGCUGCUCCGAGGCGGAAUCACUGACCAGGCUGAAGGAAACUCGACGCGACAGGAAGUCGAGACCCAUUCGGGUGGAGGCCUUCUUCCUUUCCCAUACGACGCAAAUGCAGGAAAACAAGGGUUCAGAGCUCCUUUUGUUGCCGAUCCCGCUGCCUUGAAUCGGAACCAACCAUACAGCAGACCGGAUCACGACGAACCCGGCCGAACUAGCUCGAACCACUACAUCCCUAUAGUUGGGCGAAGUUGCCGAUGUAUGGUAUCAUGGAUGGCUAGUGAAGUUUGAUACACUAGAUCAGGAAUAUUUCGUGGAAGAACUAUCCUGACGAUUUUAGAGGACCUUCUUGAAAAGAUUUCAUAGAAGAGUUCACCAAAUUAUACCAAAUAGGUACCGUUCUCAAAUUUGUUAAAUAAUUUGAAUAUUCACAUUCUUUUAUAGAUGCAUAUAACCCUACACUUUUAGAGAUAUUUUUUAUAUUCACUUUUAUCAGUGGCUUCAAGUCAUAGCUACAAUUCAUGAUAAGGAUUCUCAAGCCACAAAUGCUCAACCAAACAUUCGAACAGGCCUUGCUGAGAAUAAUCAGUCAUAAAGCUCCGCAUUCCUUAUCUUCCUAGUUAUGAGACUCCCUCAUCAGAAAGAGACCGAUACCAUGAUAGAUCCUUCAGGAGCAUGGGGAAAUGAGCAGAUCCUAGAAGAUCAACAAUUUGUUAUAAAUGUGGAAAUAGAUAUUUUUCAAGGCACCGAUACUCCAACAAAGCAGUCAUAGCAGUGGAGGAGAUCAUGCCAGAAGAGAUUCCGGAGAACAAAGCCUUUGAGGACGCUAAAGAUGUUGGCGAUGACCUUACUAGCACUUUGUCCCAACAAGCAAUAGAAGGGGUCAUCACAUGGAGCACCCUGAAAAUACAAGAAAACUUAUCAGAUCAUGAUGUGUUGGUACUACUGGAUAGUGGAAGCUUACAUUCAUUCCUGGACAAAGUAGCUUCUAAAUGGAUUAAGAAUCAGGUGGUCAACAGUAAACCCCUAACAGUUAUGGUUGCCAACAAGCAAAAGAUAUUUAAUCACCUUGAAUACCCAUAUGUGACGUGGAUCAUGCAAGGCUGUUCACCUACAAUUUCCACAUCAUUUCACUGGGAGGGUAUGAUAUUAUAUUAGGGUUUGACUAGAUAAAGCAAUUCGGCCCUAUGAUGUUUGACUUCCUCCACACAACUGUACAAUUUAAUUAUGAAAAUUUAUAAAUAUCAUUGUAGGGUUGUGACUUCCUCGAAGCAUCCGAGGCAAGAGAAAUAAAGGCGAAACAUUGGGUCAAACAUAAGCAAGCGGUUGAAGGUGGAACAAUAUUUCUAAUAAUGAAAGUUUCUGAUAAGGUACCUACUUUCGAGAUGCCUAACCCAGCACUAAAAGCACUACUUAAGAUAAUAUCAGGAUGUCUUUCAGGAACCCCAUGGAUUGCCAUCAGCCAAAGCCUUCGAUCAUGUCAUCACUUUGUCCAAACAUAAUGCUGCCGUAAAUAUUCAACCCUACAGGUAUUGUUCAAUCAGAAGAACGAAAUAGAAAAGCAGAUACAACAAAUGCUGAAGGACUCAUUAAUACGGCCCAGCCGUAGCCCAUUCUCUUUACCAGUACUGCUCGUCAAAAAGAAAGAUGGUAUGUGGAGGCUUUAUGUGGACUAUAGAGAACUAAACUCUCUGACCGUAAAAGAUAAGUUCCACAUACCCAUCAUUAACGAUCUUAUUGAUGAAUUAUAAGGAGCAAAUAUUUUUUCUAAAAUUGAUCUUAGAGCAGGAUAUUAUCAAAUCAGGGUCAAGGAAGAGAAGAUCUACAAGACGGCCUUUAGAACACACUAAGGUUAUUAUGAAUUCAGGGUGAUGCCUUUCAGCUUGACCAACGCCCCCGCUAUCUUCCAGGCUCUCAUAAAUCAUAUAUUCAAGGCUUUUUUCCGAAUGUUUGUAUUGGUCUUCUUUGAUGAUAUCUUAGUUUAUAGUACCACUGAGCAGGAGCACUUUAUUCAUCUGAACGAAGUUCUAAAGACACUCCGAGAUAACAGGUUGUAUGCAUAGUAAUCCAAGUGUUGUUUUUUUUAGAUAGAUGUGGAGUAUUUAGGGCAUAUCAUCUUGAAUCACUUUUUGGGUCAUUUGAAAAGAAAGAAACAACCGAGUUUUUAAAGGAAAAUAAGUCGAUUUUAACGUCAUUUUAGACAUAUGGUUUCAUUACUUUGGUUCUAUUGUUUUGGUCAUUCUAUUGACUGUCUAAAUGACUUAGCUUACAUUGUUGAUAUGCUAACCAAUUUGUAAAACUUUUGUAUAUGAGUGGUGCUUCCUUGGUACCAUUACUCAAUACUAAUCUUACACUUUUAUUUCGAAGAAAAAACUAUUAUAGUUGGUUGUUAGCAAUUUUCUCUACCAUUCCUUGCUUAGCUUAGCUAUUAUGUUAAAAGUUGUUGCUUUGAUCAAAUGAAUACAUUUAUCAGAGUAGAGUAAGGUCGUCUUUUUACUUGGUACCAAAGUAAAUGAAGUCUCAUUGCCAAGAAAAUAGAAGCAAUCUUGUGCAGAUUUGUAUGGGUGAUCAGAGGAGAAAAGGAAAUAUCACUUGAUGACAUGGGAAGUGAUUAAAAGGUAGUUUAAUCAGGGGGGACUCGGUCUUAGAUCAGUAACGGAGAUGAAUAGGACACUCUAGGGGAAAUAGUUAUGGAGGUUAUGAAAGAAAAGGAUACACUAUGGCAAAGGGUUAUUGAGACUAAAUUUAGUGUGGUAGAUAGAGGCAGGUACUCUAGUGUUCUUACUAGACCACUCGGGAAAAGAUUGUGCAAAAAUAUUUACAUGGGAGGAGAUAAAUUUAGGGAGUGCGUCAAAUGGAAAAUAGGGAAUGGGGAGAGUAUUGGUUUCUGGGUGGAUGCUUGGAGUGAAGGAAGUGUGUUGAAAGACAGAUUCACUCAUAUUUUUGCUAUUGUUAGAUAAAAGGGUAUGUCAGUUAAAGAGGCAUAUAGGUAGAAUGCAGGAGGGAGAGUGUGGCAUGUGGAGGUGGUGAGGAACCUUAAUGACUGCGAGAUUAAUGAAUAUGAAUCAUUUUUGAGCUCUUUGUAUUCUGUAUUUCUUAAUGAGAAUUAUGACAAAUUAGUUUGGUCCCCUAGUUUAACAGGGGGAACUUCACAGGUAAACCAUCUUAUAAAUAUUUAACUACAGAACUCGAAGAGAGCAAUUUUCCAUGUAGACAUAUUUAGAAUGUGAAUGCACCUCUCAAGGUAGCUUUUUUUGCUUGGGAAACAACCUGUGGAUGCAUUCCGAUCAUUGAUAAGUUGAUGGGAAGAGGGAGGAUCAUGAUUAAUUAGUGUUGCUUAUGUAUGAGAGCAGAAGAGGCCUGUGUUCACAUUCUUCUUUGUUGCCCUAUAUCGUAUAUUUUAUAGACAAUGGCUUAAUGGGAUUUUGGGAUAUAGCUGAGCUAUGACGGUUAGUGUAAGAGAUGAAAUUUGGGCUUGGAAGAGUAUUACUGGUCGGAGAAAACAAUUGGGGUUCAUUCCUUCAGAAAUAUUUGGGUUAUUUGGAAAGAAAGAAAUAGGAGAAUGUUCGAUGGAGUGGAAGAGGAUCUGGAUACAAGUAGAGCGAGAUGGUUUCAGAUCUUGAGUCUUUUUGUAAGUGGUUCAUUCUUUUAUUAUUAUGGAGGAUUUUGGUGAUUUCAUAGACAUUAGCUGAUUUAUAAAUACUUUUAUACCUGAGUUUGCACUUCCUUGGUGCAUAUAAUCAAUGAAUUUAGACUUUUCAUUUCAAAAACGAAAAAAGUAAAUGAUGUCUUAUGGACGACACUCAUUUUUAGUUUUUCUUUGUUCAUGUCUUGGUUGUAUGUAAAAUAUCUAGUUGAAGUUUCAAGUAAUAAAGUUUACUUUGUGUUGCAUUUGUGUUUUCNNNNNNNNNNNNNNNNNNNNNNNNNNNNNNNNNNNNNNNNNNNNNNNNNNNNNNNNNNNNNNNNNNNNNNNNNNNNNNNNNNNNNNNNNNNNNNNNNNNNNNNNNNNNNNNNNNNNNNNNNNNNNNNNNNNNNNNNNNNNNNNNNNNNNNNNNNNNNNNNNNNNNNNNNNNNNNNNNNNNNNNNNNNNNNNNNNNNNNNNNNNNNNNNNNNNNNNNNNNNNNNNNNNNNNNNNNNNNNNNNNNNNNNNNNNNNNNNNNNNNNNNNNNNNNNNNNNNNNNNNNNNNNNNNNNNNNNNNNNNNNNNNNNNNNNNNNNGUGAUAGUCAAACUUUUUCUCUUGCUUUGUUUUUUGUUUAUAGUAAAAAGAAUCAUAUUAGAUAUCUAUCCAACUUAUUUGAGCUUGAUACUUGCUCAUUUUUAGAUUAUACUUGAAGCUUGUUUUUAGACCUUGAUAAUAUUAAUAAUUAGUAUACUUGGUAAGUUUUUUAACAAUUCAUUCUUGUUAAUAUGUAGUUUCCACAAUGGUGAAGACUAGAAACAUGUGUAGACAUGUUGCUUUUACACAAAUCAAGUACAAAAUGAUGCUUUAGGUUGUAACCAUAAUAAAGCUCAAUACUAGCUUUUUAGAUUAUGCAAGACCAACUGCACCGUGAUGGCUUUAUAGUUGAUGGAAUCUUUGAACUUAUCAUUCUUGCUUUUUUUUUUCUUUUGCAGUAAAAUACUAUAGUAUAGAAUCAAAUGUAAUUAGUCUACGUAUUUAAGUAUUUAAGGGUAACAUAUACAUAUCACACUAGGGAUGGCAAUGAGGCAGGUUUAAGGGUGGACUAAAUUUGAACCCAACUCGCCCUUAUAGUAUAUAAACCCAAACCUGGAACGAGUCUAAACAUUUAUUUUCCUUUUGUAUCGUGUUGGCUUUGUUGGUUAACCAACCUACGUCCUGAUCCGGUCAUUAAGAAC
rnacentral:lncRNA from 1 species